UCGCGGCCUAUCAGCUUGUUGGUGGGGUAAUGGCCUACCAAGGCGACGACGGGUAGCCGGCCUGAGAGGGUGACCGGCCACACUGGGACUGAGACACGGCCCAGACUCCUACGGGAGGCAGCAGUGGGGAAUAUUGCACAAUGGGCGAAAGCCUGAUGCAGCGACGCCGCGUGAGGGAUGACGGCCUUCGGGUUGUAAACCUCUUUCAGCACGGAAGAAGCGGAAGUGACGGUACGUGCAGAAGAAGCGCCGGCUAACUACGUGCCAGCAGCCGCGGUAAUACGUAGGGCGCAAGCGUUGUCCGGAAUUAUUGGGCGUAAAGAGCUCGUAGGCGGUUUGUCGCGUCUGCUGUGAAAGCCCGGGGCUUAACCCCGUGGUGUGCAGUGGGUACGGGCAGACUAGAGUGCAGUAGGGGAGACUGGAAUUCCUGGUGUAGCGGUGAAAUGCGCAGAUAUCAGGAGGAACACCGAUGGCGAAGGCAGGUCUCUGGGCUGUUACUGACGCUGAGGAGCGAAAGCAUGGGGAGCGAACAGGAUUAGAUACCCUGGUAGUCCAUGCCGUAAACGUUGGGCACUAGGUGUGGGGGACAUUCCACGUUUUCCGCGCCGUAGCUAACGCAUUAAGUGCCCCGCCUGGGGAGUACGGCCGCAAGGCUAAAACUCAAAGGAAUUGACGGGGGCCCGCACAAGCGGCGGAGCAUGCGGAUUAAUUCGAUGCAACGCGAAGAACCUUACCAAGGCUUGACAUACACCAGACCGGCCCAGAGAUGGGUUUUCCUCUUUGAGGCUGGUGUACAGGUGGUGCAUGGUUGUCGUCAGCUCGUGUCGUGAGAUGUUGGGUUAAGUCCCGCAACGAGCGCAACCCUCGUUCUAUGUUGCCAGCACGUGAUGGUGGGGACUCAUAGGAGACUGCCGGGGUCAACUCGGAGGAAGGUGGGGAUGACGUCAAAUCAUCAUGCCCCUUAUGUCUUGGGCUUCACGCAUGCUACAAUGGCCGGUACAAUGGGUUGCGAUACCGUGAGGUGGAGCUAAUCCCA
rnacentral:rRNA from 1 species